GCAGAACUGCUCAUCUCCAGGGAAAGGCGACAUCCCGAGAGCCCUCCAGAGCAGAUCUGAGCUCUGCUGGGCGGGGAAGCGGAGACUGAUUCGCCGCGGUCGCGGGCCCAGCGGCUGGGAGGUCCCGCGCUGGCCGAGCAAAUGAGGAGGGCGCAGGGCACGGGGGCGGUGCGCGCCCAGGACAGUUUCCCGUCGGCUUCUCCCGGACUGUCCUACCACUUCCAUCUCGGAGCGGGAUGCUCGGAUCCCCGCAAGGCCUCCUGCGGACGUGGGAGAGUUGCUGAGACAGGUGAGAGUUGAUGAGGCUCAGCGUCUCCAGAUAAAAGAAGGGACAGAGCUGUCGGUGCGGUGAGGUUUGAAAAGUUGCGGCGGCCCCGGCAGCUGCAGGGGGCGAGCGCGGAGCAAAGCCCGGGCCGCACCAGACGGGCCCUGAGUCUCCAGGGCUCCUCGUCCCCAUGCGCCAGCGUGUCUGAUGCUUCACUGGACCCGGGUCUCUUUCUCAAUGUCAUCUCACAGCCUCUGUCCCUUGGGAGGAGACCAACACUAAAAGUGCAGUGAUGAGCCUCAUGUCUCACAGUUAGUCAGGCUCCUAAUCCAAAAGCCACUGCUAUGACCUGCGCUUCCGGACAUUCUGCCAUUUGAUCCCUACAACCUCACUACCUGAAGGACUAUAUUUUGAUCAUUCUUAAUGGGCCAGCUUCAAACCCCGUCAAGUUUUGAAGAGGGCAGAUGAAGCUGAUGACAGCUCCAGUUCCAGCUAUGGGUGACCUGUCUGUCUGCCUUUUUUGAGCUGUGGAGUGAUCAGAGUCAUAUUCGCUGCCUGUGCAGUACCACAGGCCUGAUGAAAAUGAAAUGGCAACACCACACAGAUGGCGAAGCGUAGGUCUCACAAGCGUCCUGGCCACGAAGACCUAGAUGCCUGCAGUUUCCUCGGAUUGAAAACAUGGAGGGAUCUCCUGGUGCAGUGAGUCCAGCAUAUCCAGAGUGAAGCACAGUCACUGGUCAUUUUACACUACAUGGAAAAUCUCAACAAGUUUCAAAUUUUGAUAUUUUGGGUUUGUAUUUUAAAUGAAGUAGGGGAUUGAAAACUCUGCUGAGCCUCUUAGUAAAAUGAAAAACUAAUUAAUUAAUUAAUUUUUGAGACAGUCUCACCCUGUUGCCCAGGCUGGAGUACGGUGGCGCGAUCUCGGCUCACUGCAACCUCCACCUCCUGGGUUCAAGCAAUUCCUUUGCCUCCCCGACCCGAGUAGCUGGGAUUACAGGCGCCCACCACCACGCCUGGCUAUUUUUUGUAUUUUUAGUAGAGACAGGGUUUUGCCAUGUUAGCCAAGCUGGUCUCAAACUCCUGACCUAAGGUGAUCCGCCCGCCUUGGCCUCCCAAAAUGCUGGGAUUACAGGCAUGAGCCACCGCGCCUGGCCUAAUUUAUGAUGAAAGUAGGUCUGUUAGUUUAUAAAAUGAUAGUCAUCUUGGGGUCUUAAUUAGCAGACUUCCUUUCAGUGGUUGUGUCUCUAGAUAGCAAAUGUGGCAUUUUAGAAAAUACUUCCGUGUCUAGCUAUUAGAAUAUGUCUAUUAUCAGGAAAUGAGUAGCCACACUACUUGCAAAAUGUUCAUAUUUAGAGGGAUAAAAGAUAGCUUGAAUAAUAUGAAAAUCAACACUUCCCCUGAUGGUGGAAAUAUGUUCUUUGGAGAAAAGUUCAAGCAUUUUUAAAGUUAAGUAUUAUGUUUAUUACUGUUAGCUCUGGGACUCUGCCCAAACAAAUCAUUUUUCCAACCAUGUUAAUUCCACUGAAUUAAACUUUAUUUUUUUUCUUCUCUAAAAGACCUGAUUUGCCCGUAAGAAUUUGGUUAUGCAAUUAUAUGUUGACCAAUUAGAAGGUAAAGCCCUGGAUUCUAAAAGUUUUGUGUUUUAUUUGCCCGUUUUUUUUUUUUUGAGACAGAUUCUCACUCUGUCACCCAAGCUGGAGUGCAGUGGCACGAUCUUGGCUCACUGCAGCCUCUGCCUCCCAGAUUCAAGCGAUUCUCCUGCCUCAACCUCUUUAGUAGCUGGGACUACAGGCGUGCACCACCACGUAUGGCUUUUUUUUUUUUUUUUUUUAGUAGAGAUGGGGUUUCAGCAUGGUGGCCCGGCUGGUCUCGAACUCCUGACCUCAGGUGAUCCUCUCGCCUCAGCCUCCCAAAGUGUUGGGAUUACAGGUGUGAGCCACUGUGCCUGGCCUUAUUUACCAUUUUUAAGUGUACACUUCAGUGGCAUUCAGCACAUUCACAUUGUUUUGCAACCUUCACCACCAUCUAUCUGCAGAACUCUUUUCAUCUUGCAAAACUGGAAUUUUGUAUCCAUUAAACAAUAACUCCCCACUCGCCCUCCCAGGCUCCUGGCAACUGCCGUUCUACUUCCUGUCUCUGAAUUUGCCUACUCUAGGUACCUCUUAUAUGUGGAUUCUACAGUAUUGUCCUUUUGUGUCUGGCUUAUUUCACAUAACUUAUUGUCCUUAAGUUCCAUCUAUGUUGUGGCAUAUGUCAGAAUUUUGUUCCUUUUUAAGGCUGAGUAAUAUUCCAUAAUGUGUAUGUAUUAUAUUUUGUUUAUUCAUUCACCUGUUGAUGGAAAUUUGGGUUGUUGCCACCGUUUUCAUUCUUUUCAAUGGCUGCAUGGUAUUCUGUUCUAUGGUGAUAACAUAUGACAUAAACCAGUUCUCUGUAGAUAGGCUUUCAGUUUUUUCCAUGCUUCUGUGAAUAACUGUAAACUUAAACCAUUUCACACAUAUACAAGCAUGUUUGUCAAUCAAAUGUAUUGAUAUUGAUUUGUUGAAAAGGAAUGUUUUGGGCAUAUUAAAUAUUGGGAUGUUGAUGAAUUGCCUUCUGUGGAGAUUAUACCAAUUUAUGUCUCCUGUAGACGGAACCUGUCUCCCAAGCCUUCACCAACACAGCGUGUGAACAAAUUCCUUCAUCUUUGCUCAUCUCAUGAUGGAAAAUGGUGUCUCAGUGUGGUUUUAGUUUACAUUUCUCCUAUUUUAAGUGAUCUCUGAAUGUUUCAGGGCCAUUGUAUUUCUUUUACUGCAACUAUCUGUUCAUUUCCUUUGUUCACUUUUCAGUUAGGCUCUUGGUUUUUUCCCCUCCUUCUUCUUUAUAUUGGCUGUUGUUACAAAAUGUGCUUUUAUUUGUUUGUGCAGCCUGUGGGAGUCUUUGGGGUUCUGCUGUGAAACAGGAGAUUGUCUGAGAAUUAGUAAAACCUACUUUUCAAAACCGUUGAUCGAGUACUGGCUUGGUGACAGUAGGUUUUAUUCAGGGGAGAGUCCAGUGCGGUAGGAGGCCUUACUGAAGUGGUUCAUAUUCAGAAGGAAUAAUAUCCUUGUGAGAAUUUUAUAACAAUCUGUAUUCUCAUAAUUGUUUUAACGUUAAGAUUUACUUAUCUUUUAAAAGUUGAAUAUGUAAACUCCAGAUAACAAAUAACUUAGUAAUAGCAUAUUGUUAAAUUUCAUUUUGCUAAGCCCAUACAGCUAACUGCAUACUGGAAAACUCAAACUCAACAUGUCCCACUCUGAAUUCGUUCCUUUGACCCACAGAGUAACUUCCCAGUCCCUUAAUUUUCUGUCUUGCUUUUCAGGUAUCUCUCCACUCUCCUCCGCAUCCAGUACAUCACCGCCAUGGGCUGAAUGUUUGUGUCCCGGCAAAUUUCUGUGUUGAAAUCUAAGCCCCAAGAUGAUGGUAUCAGAGAUGAGGGCUUUGGCAGGUGGUUAAGCCGUGAAGACAGAGGCCUGAUGAAAGGGGUUGGUGCCUUUAGAAAAGAGGCCUCAGAUAGCUGUCCCGUCCCUUCUACCAUGUGGGAAUGAAGAGAGACAGUAUCACCUGUGAACCAGAAGGUGGCGCUCACCAGACAUUGAAUCUGCUGAUGCAGUGUUCUCGGAUGUGAACCAGAAAAUCUGAGACGGGUCUUAGUUAAUUUGGAAAGUUUAUUUUGCCAAGGUUGAGGACGUGCUUGUGACACAGCCUCAGGAAAUCCUGAUGACAUGUGCCCAAGGUGGUCAGGGCACAGCUUGGUUUUAUACAUUUAGGGAGACAUGAGGCAUCAAUUAAUAUAUGUAAGAAACACUGGUUCGGUCUGGAAAGGCGGGAAAACUUGAAGCAAAGGCAGGAAGGCUGGAAGCAGGGAGGGAGCUUCCAGGCCACAGAUAGGUGAUACACAAAUGGUUACAUCCUUUUGAAUUUCUCAUUAGCCUUUCCAAAGGUGGCAAAUCAGAUAUGCAUCUAUCUCAGUGAGUAGAGGAAUGGCUUUGAAUAGAAUGGGAGGCAGGUUUGCCCUAAGCAGUUCCCGGCUUGAGUUUUCCUUAGUGAUUUUGGAGUCCCAAGAUAUUUUCCUUUCACAUGGACUUCCCAGCCUUUAGAACUGUCAGAGAUAAAUGUCUGUUGUUUAUAAGCCACCCAGUUUAUGGCAUUUUGUUAUAGCAGCCCAAACCAAAUAAGAAGACCGCCAGCCAGUUCUACCUAAACAGUCCCUCCAUGUGUCCACCAUCCUGAGUCCCCAUUACCACGCCUUGUCCAGACCCCAGCAUUUCUGUGACUUGAUGCAAUAUAAGUUUACUGCCUAAAUAACAGGUACAGGACUUUGUGUGGACAAAUGUGCUCUUUUCUCCUGGGGUAAUAUCUACGUACAAAUGACUGGGUCACGUGGUAGGUAUUUUUAACUUUUUAAAAAACUACCAAACUGUUUUCCAUAGUCUUUGCACCAUUUCACUUUCCCACCAGCAAUGAAUGAGUGUUCCAGUAACUCUGCAUUCUCAACAGCACUUGUUAUCAUCAGCACUUGUUAUCAUCACCUUAAAGAGUUUCAGCCAUUCUAAAGGUGUGUAGUGGUUUUCUCCCCACCUUUUAAUUUUCUUAAUAGUGCCCUUCAAAAAACAGAAGUUUUUAAUUUUGAUGAAAUCUAGUUUACCAAUUGUUUUCUUUUAUGGAUUGUGCUUUUUGUUGUUACAUGUAUGAAAUCUUUGCCUAACCCGAGAGUGCAAUAUUUUUUUUCCAUGUGUUCUUACAGAAGUCUUAUAUAUCUAUGUUUUACAUUUAGGUCUACGAUCAAUUUCAGUUAAUUUUCAUAUAGGGCCUAAGAUAUGGAUUCAGGUUCAUUUUCUGGCACAUGAACAUCCAUCUGUUCCAGCACCAUUUGGUGAAAAAAUGAUACUUUUCCAUUGAAUUACUUUUGCAUUUUUAUUGAAAAUAAGACAAAAUUCCAAAUACCAUAAUCCUGAAUGCUAAAAUCCCAAAAGAUCAAAGAUCCUAAAGUAUAAAUCCCUAAAGUCUAAAAUUCUGAAAAUCACAAUCACAGGAUAGGGUUUUUUUUCCUUUUCUUCUAUUUUUUUCACUAUUUUAAAUAGCAAAACAAUUCACUAUGCUAUAUAUUUCAUCGUUGCAUCAUUUCCAAAACUUGACGUAUAGGUUGUGCAGAGACGUUUAGAGAGUCCUAAUUUGUUUCAUGCAUUUUUUUGCAAAUGUGACUCCAUGAAAGUUCAUUAUCUCAAUGUUGAUUUUGUGUAUAAACAUUGUGUAUGUACAUGAAAACAUUGAAACCUCCUCAGUGAUGUCCUUUUUGUACACCUGCAUUUGUAAAAGACAACAUUUUUUGAGAUCUCAGCUCUUUGGGUGACUGCAUAUGUAGUGGUAAUCCAUUGUGGUUUUUGAUCAAUCUUGUCAAAAGACUUCGGUUUUUUAUCACAGUAUUUCAGAUGAGCACAUAUACAAAGCUGGUUGCACACAAUUACCAAUCAUAGUGAUAUGUGUUUACACAUUUUCCUUUUGACCUACUUCUUUAGGAAUACAGUUUAUCUGCUCAUAAAUGCUAUAUCUGUGCCAGGUAUAGUCGUAUACCUGAGUAUUUAUUCUUGCAAAAACAUGUACGCUAGUAUUGCUUCUUUUAUUGUGUAAAGCGGCCUAUGAAGUGUUCUGUUGUGUUUUUAUAUGUUUCUCAAAUAAAUCCCCCCCUCCCUUUUUUUUUGAGAUGCAGUCUCAUGUUGUUGCCAAGGCUGGAAUGUAGUGGUGUGAUUUGGGCUCACUGCAAACUCCGCCUCCCGGAUUCAAGCGAUUAUCCUGCCUCAGCCUCCCGAAUAGCUGGGAUUACAGGCAUGCACCACCAGGCCGGGCUAAUUUUUGUAUUUUUAGUAAAGAUGGAGUUUCACCAUGUUGGCCAGGCUGGUCUUGAACUCCUGACCUCAGGUGAUCCACCUGCCUCAGCCUCCCAAAGUGCUGGGAUUACAGGAGUGAGCCACUGUGCCCACACCCACUCCCCUUAAAAUGUAAGUAAAUAUCUUCAGGAAUUUUUAAAAUUAUUUUUUCCAGAAUUAUAUUUUCAGGAUUUUGGAUUUUAGGGAUUUUUGAUCUUUCAGAAUUUUAAGAGCUGGGAUUGUGUCUUUCAAGACUGCUUCUUCAGGGACUAUGACGGGCUUCCCUCUAGACAGCAUGGGCUAGGAAGCAUGUUCUGGAAUGUGACAUUUAAGCUGAGAACUGAAUUGUACAAAAAACCUAGCCACGCCAAUUACCCUAAGUGAAUUAAUGCAAAAAUAGAAAUCCAAAUACCACAUGUUUUCACUUAUAAGUGGGAGGCAAGCAUUGGGUGCACAGGGACAUAAAGAUGGGAAAAUAGACACUGGGGAUUCCAAAAGGCAGGAGGAAGGGAGAGGGUUGAAAACUUACCUAUUGGGCACUGUGUUCACUAUCUGGGUGAUGGGAUCAGUUGAAGCCCAAACCUCACUGUCAUGCAAUAAAUCCUUGUAACAAACCACUCACGUAGCUCCUGAAUCCAAAAGAAAAAAAAAACCAAAAAACAAUAUUAACUUUUACCCGAAAACCACCUAGCCACAGAAACCAGGGGGCAGUGGUGGAGAGGAGGCCCCAGGAGGAUUCUAGGUGAGGUGGCUGGACAUGCAGAAGCCCUGCUGGGGAAGGAAGAGGUUUUGUGUUUAGGAAGUGAAAGCCCAGGUAGCUGAGCUGUGGCGAGCCGGGAAGAAUGAAGGGAUGAGACAGCAGAGACACAGGCUUCGGUUCUGGGGGUCCUGCUGCUGCCCCACCUCCUCAAUGGUCCUCCUGGCCCCUCUCUGCUAAGCAGGAAGCAAUGGCAUCUUUUUUUUUUUUUCUUUUUUUGAGACGGAGUCUGGCUCUGUCGCCCAGGCUGGAAUGCAGUGGCGCAAUCUCGGCUCACUGCAAGCUCCGCCUCCUGGGUUCACACCAUUCUCCUGCCUCAGCCUCCCGAGUAGCUGGGACUACAGGCGCCCGCCACCACGCCCGGCUAAUUUUUUGUAUUUUUAGUAGAGACGGGGUUUCACCGUGUUGGCCAGGAUGGUCUCGAUCUCCUGACCUCGUGAUCCGCCUGCCUUGGCUUCCCAAAGUGCUGCGAUUACAGGCAUGAGCCACCGCGCCCGGCCACAAUGGCAUCUUUUACCCAUGAAGUUGUCGGCACAGUUGGGAAAUAGCAGGCAGUUCCAGCGGAGUUUCUCAAGGCUUGGAUUUGGCUAGGAAGUUAGGCGGUAGUGGGGACAGACUCAGAGGUUUUAGGAAUGACCACCCUGUUUCCAGUAUGUAGGAAAAUGACUUCUUGAGACAGAAAACUCUGAAAUUCUUUUUUUUUUUUUUUUUUCAGAUGGAGUUUCGCUCUUGUCACCCAGGCUGGAGUGCAAUGGUGUGAUCUCGGCUCACUGCAUCCUCCGUCUGCUGGGUUCAAGCGAUUCUCCUGCCUCAGCCUCUCAAGUAGCUGGAAUUACAGGUGCCCGCCACCAUGCCCAGCUAAUUUUUGUAUUUUUAGUAGAGACGGGGUUUCGCCACGUUGGCCAGGCUAGUCUCGAACUCCUGGCCUCAGGUGAUCCACCCACCUCAGCCUCCCAAAGUGCUGGGAUUACAGGCAUGAGCCACCACACCCGGCUGAAAUUCUUUUUGUUUUAUUUUUGUCAAACUUGGUGGCAGAGUGUGCAAAAGAACAGAAUGAGGUUUUGGAAAUGUUGGAUUUGUAGUAUUUUUGUGAUGUCCGGUUGAAGAUGUGAGGCAGCCAGUUACAAUUGUGGAUCUGCAGCCUGUGGGAGAGCCCUGGGUUAUUGGUGUGAAUUCAGGACUUGGUGGUGGGUUCCUUUCCUGUGGUUGCUGUAACAAAGGACCACAGCACAGCGGCUUGAGCAACAGAUGCCUUCUCCUUCAUGGCUCCGGAGGCAGAAAGCCUGCGGGCGAGGUGUCAUCAGGCUUCUCCUAGGGCUGUGAGGGGCCUGCUCCAGGCCUCCAUCCUCACUUCCGGCAGCCUUGGGCACUCCUGGGCUUCUAGGUGGCCACCUUCUCCCUGGGUCAUUAUGUCGUCUUCCUCUGUGUGGUUCUGCCUCUGCAUCCAAAUUUCCCUGCUCUGUAAGGACCCUGGAUUAUGCCCCACCCCAAUCACCUAAAGCUUACCUGCAUCCUCUGCAGAUACCUUUUUUCUAAAUGGGCCACAUGGAUAGGUACUGCGGGCUAGGACUUCAAUGUCUUUUGGGGGACACAAUUCUACCUCUAGCAGAUGGUGAUGCAGCUGUAAGCCUGGGUGACAUCACCUGGAGAGAGUUAGGGGUAAGAGCAGAAGAGGCCACGUGCCCAGCCUGGAAGAACUGUGUGAGUUCAUAAUAACAGUGGCCAAGGAGGGGAGAGAGGAGAGAGGCGAGGGGAGCAGGCAACAGGGAAACACAGAGGCGGCAGCCCAGAGCUCGGAGGAGGAGAGGCUGUGAAGGAGGGUGAGGUAUAGUCUCAAAUGCUGCUGAAAGGUUAAGUAUGUUGCAGUAAUUUGAAGGCUAAAACAUGCCAUUGGAUUUCAUAGUCAGGCAUCACCUGUGCCCUGUGCCUGAACUGCUGUGGUGUAGAUGAGCCUGGCUGAGGAAGCAGCCAGCCAGAGGGGAAGGAGUGGAGCCAGGCUCCGGGCCUGCUUAAGGGUUGGAAGAGGGUAGACCAGCUGCCAGAAGGCGCAUGGGCUCGGGCAGGGAGAGGCUUUUAAAAACGGGAGGGAUCUUAGAAGAAAGAGGAUCCAGUGGGUUGGAGAAAGUAAAGGGGUCAGCACGGCAGGUCCGGGAGUUGAAGGAGCAGCGGUGAGGGCUGACUGAGCAAGCGAUCUGCGAUCUGCUGGGAGAGGCUCCGGCGCUGAUCCCAUAGAUUCGCAGCGAUUUCGGAAGAUGAGUCCGGGGUGUGGCUGUGGGAAGGAUGGUCAGACAUAUUUUUCCUCUAUUGUAUUAAUGUCUUAUGUGAAGAUGGAGUAACCUCUUGGCUACCUAAUAUAUAUAUACAUAUAUAUAUAUAUAUAUAUCUAUCACAUCUUCUCACACAUUUAAUUGUAAAAAUGCUCCUACUUAAUCCUAAUCCAGCCACCUUCUGUGCAAUUCCAAAUGUGCUCACCUUCUCCCCAGUGGGUAACAAUCCAAAAUCACAUACAGGUUCUGUACUGUGAAGUGACACAAUUUAGCCCCUCUGAGUUCAGGUUUUCUAGGUAGUGUCAAUUCCUCCAUUAGCUUGGAUUUGAUCAGGUUUGUGACUUCUCACCAUUCUGCAGAUUAUGGCAUAAAUGAUAAAAGUAGCUUCUCCUGCCUACCCGAUACAGUGAAAUGGAAUAAAAAUCAAACCAAAAACGGGGAAAGAAGUGCCUACAUUGAUAACUGGUACAGAUUAUAUAAUAGCAUAUCUCGCUGAGCAAGCUUAGCAGGAUGAAUGAUAGAAACAAUGGGUCUCAUGAGCAUUCUCUUUGUUGCCUCACUUCUCUGGAUGUAGAAUAAAUUGUUGGAACCACCUUCAGAAAAGGCACCAAGGGAGGAUUUCCUACUGGUGCUUGUGGUGGUGAUGGCAGGCAGGUGUUUGAGGAGAUGCUAGUGAAUGGCUUUGAUCCUGGCACUUGUGGUGGUGAUGGCAGGCAGGUGUUUGAGGAGAUGCUAGUGAAUGGCUUUGAUCCUGGCACUUCAAUGUUGGGGCUUGGUUUAGGGUCUACCAUAAUGCUGGACGGUCACAGGUCUCUGUACAACAGGCUAGGGACUUUUUUUGACAGUACAACUUCCCUAAAACUGUAACUAAUUUCUUCACAGUUGUAUUUAGGAUCUUGUAUCCAAUGCCAGAAAUCUUGUCUUGUUCUCAAUUUGCUAAAGGAAUAGACAUGGUCCACACAACCUUUAGGCCUUUUGUUUGUUUGUUCUUUUUUCGCAUUUUGUCAAGAGGAUCUUUCUAUGACUCUAACUCAGCCACAUAGAGUUUGCCUCUGGAAUAGUUAGGAGUCUUUCUUUAAUCUUCCCUUGAGUGUCACCCUUGUCCUUUCAUUGCAUUUCAGACCAGCGCAUUUAGCAAUAGAAAAAGGCACCUUCAUUUUUGUUUGUAAGAUCCAGCAUGGUGGCGUGGACCUGUAGUCCCAGCUACUCGGGAGACUGAGGUGGAGAGGAUUGCUUGACCCCAAAGGGUAAAGGCUGUAGUAAGCCAUGAUCAUGCCACUGCACUCCAGAAUGGGCAACAGAGCUAGACCCUGUCUCAAAAAAAAAAUUAUUGCCAUAAUAUUUGUAACAUUCUUUCAUUACAU
rnacentral:lncRNA from 1 species